GAUGAACGCUGGCGGCGUGCCUAAUACAUGCAAGUCGAGCGAACGGACGAGAAGCUUGCUUCUCUGAUGUUAGCGGCGGACGGGUGAGUAACACGUGGAUAACCUACCUAUAAGACUGGGAUAACUUCGGGAAACCGGAGCUAAUACCGGAUGAUAUAUUGAACCGCAUGGUUCAAUAGUGAAAGACGGUCUUGCUGUCACUUAUAGAUGGAUCCGCGCUGCAUUAGCUAGUUGGUAAGGUAACGGCUUACCAAGGCAACGAUGCAUAGCCGACCUGAGAGGGUGAUCGGCCACACUGGAACUGAGACACGGUCCAGACUCCUACGGGAGGCAGCAGUAGGGAAUCUUCCGCAAUGGGCGAAAGCCUGACGGAGCAACGCCGCGUGAGUGAUGAAGGUCUUCGGAUCGUAAAACUCUGUUAUUAGGGAAGAACAAAUGUGUAAGUAACUAUGCACGUCUUGACGGUACCUAAUCAGAAAGCCACGGCUAACUACGUG
rnacentral:rRNA from 1 species